CCUACGGGGGGCUGCAGUAGGGAAUCUUUCACAAUGGGCGAAAGCCUGAUGGAGCAACGCCGCGUGCAGGAUGAUGGCCUUCGGGCUGUAAACUGCUUUUAUAAGCGAGAAAUAUGAUGGUAACUUAUGAAUAAGGAUCGGCUAACUACGUGCCAGGAGCCGCGGUCAUACGUAGGAUCCGAGCAUUAUCCGGAGUGACUGGGUGUAAAGGGUUGCGUAGGUGGCAUAGUAAGUAACUAGUGAAAUCUGGUGGCUCAACCAUUCAGACUAUUAGCUAAACUGUUAAGCUCGAAACCGUUAGGGGUAACUGGAAUUUGUAGUGUAGGAGUGAAAUCCGUAGAUAUUAGAAAGAACACCGAUAGCGUAGGCAGGUUACUGGGACGGUUCUGACACUAAGGCACGAAAGCGUAGGGAGCAAACGGGAUUAGAUACCCUUGUAGUC
rnacentral:rRNA from 1 species